rnacentral:misc_RNA from 1 species
GUUUUAAAUUGCGGUCGCGGUCGCAACUGCGGCCGCGGUCACGGGAAACGGAAACAGACUCGUAAUGACUGUUAACGUAACGAUAACGGCUUGCUAUUACACAAAUUUUCAUGAAAUGAGUAAAAAAAAAUAUAUAUACCUCAACGGUCAUAUCAGUAAUAACGGCUAAGUAACAGCCAUUAUUUAAUUUCAUGAUCCUGUUGAAAAAUUUUUCACAUUGUUUUAUUAUUUGGGCACUUAAAAAAAAAA